ACCGAGGAAAGCUGAAAAUCGGAUAAAAGAGUAGGCG
rnacentral:ncRNA from 1 species